rnacentral:ncRNA from 1 species
UUAUAGAGUCUUUCAAAUAAUAACGAAGGUGUCCCAAGGCAAUUUCAGUGCGAAUAGAAACCACACGUAGAGCAAAAGGGCAAGCGCUGACUUGAUCUCGAUGUUCAGUACACAUAGAGACAGCAAAAGCUCGGCCUAUCGAU